GCUACUGAGGUAAUUCACCGACCUGAAGAAUCCUUUCUACCUAAGAUCCAAAAGGUCAAGCACAGUAUACUUCUCAACGGCUCGUAAACCUCAAAUAUAGUGUUCCGGCAAGCUGAUCAGUUCUGUCCGUCCAUAGAACGAGUUUAUCGAACAAUUUCCCCCUGUUCACAGUUUCACUUCAGUGUGUUAUUUAAGGUUUUGAGCACGCCAUAUGAGUAGUCUUUCAAUUGCGCAGUGGAUUCCGAUCGAGGAGUAUGUACAGCAGUAUCCUCCCGAGAAAAAGGACCAGUUCUAUGAGAUGGCACAGAUAUGCUGGGAGAAGGCAAAGGAUCAGGGCUGUCUCGGUUUCACACACUUUAAGAGCAAAACGGGUAGCGGAAAGCCUUGUUACAUAUACUCGAACAAGCUUGGAAAGCUGUAGUAGCACUAGCAGCAUCUGAAGCUUACUUCGGUUUCUGCUUAUGCCACGAAAUUAAUACAUCAAUCUAAGCUAUAUGCGUCUCCUUUCUCUUCACUUGUAUUAUCUGUCGUUGUAUUUGUUGGAGAAAUCUUCUUGAAGUGUUUUGAAGUUGAUAAAACGUUUUCAUCAGUCUAGUCUGAAGGCUUGCAGACUCUGCUGUUUAAAGUCUGAAGACCUCCGGACAGCCAGACUCAAGACUCAAAGUCUAUCCUCAUUGACAGUCUCUGAUCCGUAGAAGAAAGGUUAUCCAGAACUGGAUGUUUCGUUAAGGAUUUAACUUAUCAACUGGAGAAGAUCUCGUGGCUGGAAAAGACAUAACGGAGUCCUUUGAUUGAUCGAAGAUUGACUCGAUAAUUGAAGAUUCGGUAAUUGCCUAAAUAUUAUUGGAAGGUUCUACUUAUGGAAACCGAGAUCCUGAUUGUAUGGGCGAACAUGAUUGAUGGGCUAUCGACACGUUCCUUUAAUAGCUCGAACAAUCUUCCUAAUUGAUUCCGUCCAAUGGGUAGAUUGGAGGAAUUCCUUUGGUAAGUGCCAACGGGUAUGAUGGCAUAAAGGAGUAUAUAAGGAAGACGAUCUUAGUUGUUCAAGGUGUGCGCGAUAGAAGAAUUCCAAAGUCUGAAGCUCCUUUUUGUUUAGACAAUUCCUUUGAGCGAAUACUUGUAUACAAAAGAGAGUCUAUAUUUGUGAGAAAUCUUGAGGAGGUGUGGUAGAACAUCUACACUGUGGAAUCAAGGCAAAGCUGUGCUGUAAUUUCUCUUUUGUUCAUAGUGGAAUCCAGCCGAUAGGUUGUCAAUGAAGAAGAGUGGACGUAGGCUUGAUAUAAGCCGAACCACUAUAAACCGCGUGUUCAAUUUUCUUUUCUCUCAGUCUCACUUUGAUUAUCGUUUGUCUCAAAUCCAUCAACUGUCUAGUAUUGUGCAAUUAUCGAAGAAAAAUCUUUUAUAUACCUAUUCACCCCCCUAGGUACUUAUACUAGCAAUAUCAAUAUUCCCCAAAAUAAAAUUUCCUCUGGGAAGGAUAGAGGCAGUGUUUGUAAUAUAUUUCAUGAUUAUUCCUGGUUUUAAAUGUUGGAAUCUUUCUCCCACGUUUGCUUUGGCCAAUGCCUAUACCCACUGGACCUAGGCCUUAUCAGUGAAUGUCACUGCCUCUCUCUGGCAAGUCGAGGGCGUGAUCUAAGGCUAUGACCACCGAUCCGAUAGUUGGAUGAAAUAAAUCCAACAGCUAACGAUCGUCAAAUGAAUUAACAAAUCGACAACAACUUAGGAUUGUUAGAACAGCUAUGAGGUUAUAGGUUUUCCGUCACAGGUUGCUAUAGGAGAGUAAAAGUCACAUAAAAAAGUUCAAUCUUCUAAUGGUUAUUGCAGGACUUCUCCUACUUAGUUAUUUAAUUCAGUAAAUUGCAUCAAAUAAUAUUGUCAUUAAACGGAACAGCUUAUUGUGAAUAAAAAAUAACAUUUACAGACAGUAUAAACACAUAGAUCGAUCCAAAAUUUUUCCAGAGGAAGAAAAAAAUAAAGCUAAUGUGUCAACCAUUGAGGUAAAAGUCAAUUUUUGAUAAGACUCUUGUCAUGAGUGUUUUAUUCUUCGUUUGUUUUCGGCAAAAUUUUCUAACAAUGCACUUAGAAACAAACCAUGUCAACUGGUUAUGUAAAGUUGCUAUGAUAGGUUUGCAGCAACCUCCCGCCCAAGGUCGAGAAUACCAAAGUCAAAGAAACCAAUGGCCACGUGAUCCGAAGUAGAGAACUCCAAAAGUAAAAGACAACAACAAGGAAGGCGGAAACUGGAGAUUUCGGUCGCAUUGAGCAACGUGACAUCUGUAAAUCAGGACACUUCCGUCGCCGCUCUCCAUCACCAGGUUUGUUCCGCAAGCCGUGGUCCGAUCCGAUUCUCAGAAAAUUCAAUUUAGGUAACGUAUUAUCCAAUUUGAUUUCGAAAAUAUUAAGUUGCAUAAUUUGAAUAUGUUGUGAUCUCAAUUAGGUAUCUUGAAGAUAUGUCAUAUCCAAAAAGAUUUUUCGAAAAUCCAUGAAUUAGAAUAUUAUCCUAAUCUCACAACAUGCAUAUGAUUAUUAAUCCGAUUUCAUGCUUGAAAUAUGAAAAUCGUCUAUCCGAUUUCACACUCAAGAUAUGAUUUGGGAUUUUGUGAAAAUUUGGCAAAUCUAAUCUCAUGCCCAAGAUAUGGUUCGUUAAUUUAUUUCCAAAAUUAAAUGGACAUGGAUGAUAUCUUGCAUGAUUUGUUCCCAUGUUGUUAUUGAUUUGAAAUAAUUUUGCUCCCAAAAAAAGAAAAACCCAAAAAUAUAUAUUUGAGUAGAUUUGAUUCUUGUUAAAAUAUUACUUGUUUUAUUUAUGCUAGAUUGCUUGUUUAGAUUAGGUAAUUUCUUUAUUCCGAAUUUAAAAAAAAAAAAAACCAAAACAUUGCUUUAGGAUGUUAGAUUUCAUUUUCCUUAAUUAAAAUUGCAUGUUUAAUUAUUGGGUAAUUUUAAUUUCGAAAUUUAAUCAAAAAUAAAAGAAAACAUAUAAAUUAUCAUGCACAUGUCAUGUAGAAUUAGGUCAUUCCUUGCACAUCAUUUAGUCAUUACAUGAUUAGGUUCAUUUAAACGUGUGACAUAUUAGGAUAGUUUCAUUUAAUAUUUUACCCAUCAUUAGAUUAGGUCAUUUAAUUAAUGUCGCGUGACAUAUAAUUUACGUAUUAGGUUUAUUUAAUUUUAUGUUGCACAUCACGUUAGCAUAAAUAUAUUUUUCAAUAGAUUAUAUUUUAUUAAAUAAGAGAAAAUCCUAAAAAAGAUUGAGUAACUGCAUGUUGAUUAGAAAUCACAUCUAGAAUUUGUUGAUGUGAAUUAUGAGCUUACAUUGCAGAUGCUUUCGUUAUUAUGAGGUAAAUUUCACAAUUUUUCAUUAUUUUAUUGGGAAUUAAAUUGGUGGAUUGCGCACUCAUAUAAUCACAUCAGGUAAUAAAAUCAAUUCAAGUUGCCUGAUAAAUAUUUUUCAUGAAAAAAAUGGUACUUAAAGGCUAUUAGAGAAAUCUAGUGUAGCACCCAAAUUCUCUGGUUCAUAUGAAUAAAACAAUUUUUUAAUUAUUUUAUUUAAUUUUCUAAUCGACUUAUCAUAAAUUGAUUAGUGUCAACUUCUAGAUAAAAUUCAUUUAUAUGCCAAAAACUUGAACUUAAGUUACGAAUUGGCAUGGGCUUGGAAGAGCUCGAGUUAAGUUUAGACUUAGUAAUUCAUUAACCAAACUCUAGGUGGUACACCUUAGGUUAGGUCGCGACAUUUACAUAUACCAAAACAUAGCAAAUGUCCGAUCCGAAUUUUAUGCAACAUAUAUGCUUAUUUAUAUCUUAUAAUCUUAUCAUUUUGAAACGUGAGUUUACAAAUUUUUAGAAAAGAUAGCAUCACUCACCUGAAUAUCCCAAACCAAACAACAAAGCUUACUCGAAUUAACGAACUUGCAUUUAUUAUAUAAGUGAGAAAUAUCAUUAAAACCAAGUAAAAUGCUAUCUCAAUUAACAAUUCGACAAAACUAUACUUAUACGUGAUAAAAUGACACUUACGCACUAAUAAAUUGCAUAUCCAAAGCGAUUAUUUAAGCCAUUCGCAGCAUGAAACUUGAUCAUGUCAUAACUUUUUUUACUGAAUCCCGUUUUAGACGUUUUUAUAAAAUCUCGUUUCAAACGUUCUUAUAGUUAAUAGAGAGCUCUUUCAAGAUAUUACAAGGACUCUAACUUGAUUGUUCCAAAAUUAAGCCGAAAAUGGACAAAAUAUGGUAUCGAAGUUGUUGAAUGUGCAUUGUUCAUUAGGCGAGGAAAACUUUGAAUUUUGUUUUGGGUAAAUCAUAAACUCAAAUCAAGAGCGGUCAUUUUUUAUAACUUCACAACACCCUAAACUAUCAUAUAUAUAUAUAUAUAUAUAUAUAUAUAUAUAUAUAGUUCAAUGACUCAAAAAUUGGCUUUCGCCUCACGAAUCUCCACUAAUUCCAAAUUUUAUGCCCUAAGUCCGAAAUUACUCCAAUUUAAUGAAUGGAGGCAUGAGUGCUUACUGUGUUAUGUAAUUGAGAUAGCUUGGUGAGACUCCCAUAAUGAGAGCGCGCAAAAUCUUUUUCUUCUUUCUUUUUGAAAUCUUUUUUCUUCUUUCUUUCUCCUCCUUUCUUCUCCCGUGCUCUCUAACUUCUCAUGGCCGAGCCCCCCAAUUUUUUUUUUGAUACCUAGGGAACCUCGUUGGCUUAUGCCGGCAGGUAAACCCUGAAGUGACGCUAGUGGAGGACCUAUCAUCCCUGUAUCACACUUAAGACGCCGAUGCUUCCCCUGAGGUUUGAUGCCCUCACCUUGAGGGAGGCAAGGGAUUCUUAUCUCUUCUUUUGACUUUUCAACCAUUCUUUUCUUUUCUUUCUCUCUCUCCUUCUUUCCUCCUCCUCCUCCUCUCUCUUCCUUUUCUUUGACUUGGUCAAAACCCUUAUUUUACAGUAAUGUACAAUAAGGAGAAAAGAAAUCAUGAAAAGAAUUGACUUUGAUAAACUAAAAUCAAGUCGUCGUCGUUCUUUCUCAUCAGUUUCUUGUGCUAAGUCUACUUGUGGUUCAGGUUCCUACUGUUAAUUUGCUUAGGCACGAUGUUCGGUCCUUGUGCUAUAAAUUCAAUCGAUGAAAUGCUUUUCCAUGCACUCCCCUUUUCUUCUGAACUCUAAGAGUGCUACAUAUCCUACAUCUCAUUCAUGUCGGCCAGUUCACCAUCGGCUGCAAGCCAAAAGAAGACCGAUGGCAGUACUGGUCAGGUUCGUGUCUUCAGUGGAAAACCAGACAGGUUUGAAGGACUAACAGGGGAGAUCGAGGAGACCAUGGACGCCGAGAGCUUCGCUUGCCGCCUCAGAACUUCAGUUGAUGAAUGGAAGAAACAGGUGCGGAAUAAUGUUGAUAACUAUUUGUUGCAAAAACACAAGCUACCGAACACACCAAGCAAAUAAAUCGGAUGCUGGAUCAACACAAAGUUGACUUCCUUGUUUUUCACACGCCAAAACCUACAACAAUUUGGACUUUCCUCCACACCUGAGACAGCAUAAACCAGAUUUUCCGCACGCUUUUUAGUCGCAUUUACCGUUUGGGCUCUGAAUAAACUCAUGAUUUUAAACUUCUUGCCUCUUUUAUUGUGUCCUUCUGAAUUGUAGGGGAAGAAGGACAUCUGGAUCAAAUUGCCCAUUGAACAUGUCAACCUUGUUGAAUCUGCAGUGAAGGUACAUGACGUUUUAUGUCACCAGGCAUGAACGAAAUUAUUUUGGCUAAUGAGAGAACACAAAGUACAUUCUUAUAUGUUAACUUGGAAAGAAAUACAAGUGAAUUAAGUGGUGAUAACAUAUGAUUCAUGCCUUAUAAUUUUUUUCACAGGAAGGAUUUAAGUACCACCAUGCUAAAGAAAAUUAUUUGAUGCUGACGCAUUGGCUUGCUCCCGAGGACAAUACAAUGCCUAUUUAUGCCUCAGAUAGGAUUGGCGUGAGUGCUUUUGUCAUGAACGAUGAUGGAAAGGUAAUGACCAUAAUGCUUUUGGCGGAUUCCAACACUGUGGGGCCACUACAACACCAACUCGAGUCGAAUUCAAAUUGAUAAGGAAUUGGGUCUUCCCACCAGGAUUGGUUCAUGUCGUUGUAUUAUAUGCUACUUCUGCAAAAUAUCAUUUGAUACUUUUCGCUAAUUUGCAUUAUAUGGCCCGUUUACCUUCUGUUUCUUCCAGGCAAAUUGACUUCCUCAUGUUCUAUAAAACCUUCACCUUCCAUUGGUCCAUCUAAGCAUUUAGUGAACCCAUGCUUUACAGCUUGUUCUCGACAAAAGGUCCUUUCAGAUUUAGACACGUUUUCUGCAUAAUAGCUUGUUCCUUUUCCGUAGAGCCACUCCCUUUCCAUGCUUUAGAUGUCCUGCUGUUAAUCCUAUUUGCAAGUGGCUCAUGUCUUUGUUCUACAUAUUCAAAUAAACAUAUUAGUAACCUUCAUUAUUUUGCCACCUUCCAAACAUCACAUGGUUUUCUAAAAAAUAUCGGCCUGCCUGAUAGGCAUUAAGGAUAUAUAGGAUCACAAUAAUUACGCCUGGGAAAUAAUCCGCUGCAUUCAACGUUCAUUGGAUUCGUGUGUGCAUAUGUUAUCUGGUUUUCAACAUGAUUCUAUUACAACCAGACACUCGAUACUUCAAAGACUUUAAAACUUUCCCCUCCUUUCCAGGUGCUUGUAGUCCAAGAGAAGGGUGGAAAGCGUGUAUGGAAGCUCCCUACUAGAGUUGUUAACGAGGUAUGUUUAAGAAAUCAAGUACUACAUCAGAAGUAUCAAUACAUGUUGCAAUGGUUUGACCAUGACUCUAUACCUGUAGGGCGAGGGUAUAUGGCGUGCAGCUGUGAAAGAAGUAAAGGAAGAGACAGGAGUAAGUGACGAGUUUUAUGUUGUGUAGAAAAGCUAAUUCUCUAAGGCAUUCACUUGAGAACUCCAACUAAAGCCUUAUUCUUAUAUGUUCUACAGGUAGACACUGAAUUAGUUGAGGUCCUCUGUUUCAGGUAAAAGAAAUCCUCUAUUUCAGAUUGUGGUGCAUUAAUAUGCUUUGGUCUUUGUUUUAGAGCCUUCUUCUAUGUUUAGCCUUCUGAUCUUCGAAUUCACUUUCACUUCUCUAAAACGCUCUCUUAUGUUCGAUCACAGGCAAAGCCACCAAGCAUUCUUCACAAAAUCAGAUUUGCUCUUCCUGUGCGUGCUUCGGCCUAAAUCAACUUUAAUCAAGAAACAGGAAGUAGAGAUCAAGGCAGCUAAGGUACAUUCGCGCUUGCAGAUCUUCUUGAUUUUGGUAGAAGCACGAAGACUUUACUGAUUAAUCUUUGCUUGGGCUGUCUUGUACUAUACUGGACUGCAUGCUUCAAUCUUGCAUUCUUGCUCAUUUUUUGCUGAACAAGGAAUCUAGUAAAAUUAGAUGUACGAUUUUCUACGAUUUUAAGCACAUCAGCGACUAGCUACUUCACUGAAUGUCUGUUCAAGGAACGAGCAAGAAAUCGAGGCUACUGAGGUAAUUCACUGACCUAAAGAAUCCUUUCUACCUAAGAUCCAAAAGGUCAAGCACAGUAUAUUUCUCAGCAGCUCGUAAACCUCAAAUAUAGUGUUCCGGCAAGCUGAUCAGUUCUGUCCGUCCAUAGAACGAGUUUAUCGAACAAUUUCCCCCUGUUCACAGUUUCACUUCAGUGUGUUAUUUAAGGUUUUG
rnacentral:lncRNA from 1 species